CAUGCAAGUCGAGGGGAAACGAUAUUGGAAGCUUGCUUCCGAUAGGCGUCGACCGGCGCACGGGUGAGUAACGCGUAUCCAACCUGCCCACCACUUGGGGAUAACCUUGCGAAGGUAAGACUAAUACCCAAUGAUAUCUCUAGAAGACAUCUGAAAGAGAUUAAAGAUUUAUCGGUGAUGGAUGGGGAUGCGUCUGAUUAGCUUGUUGGCGGGGUAACGGCCCACCAAGGCGACGAUCAGUAGGGGUUCUGAGAGGAAGGUCCCCCACAUUGGAACUGAGACACGGUCCAAACUCCUACGGGAGGCAGCAGUGAGGAAUAUUGGUCAAUGGGCGAGAGCCUGAACCAGCCAAGUAGCGUGCAGGAUGACGGCCCUAUGGGUUGUAAACUGCUUUUAUAAGGGAAUAAAGUGAGCCUCGUGAGGCUUUUUGCAUGUACCUUAUGAAUAAGGACCGGCUAAUUCCGUGCCAGCAGCCGCGGUAAUACGGAAGGUCCGGGCGUUAUCCGGAUUUAUUGGGUUUAAAGGGAGCGUAGGCCGGAGAUUAAGCGUGUUGUGAAAUGUAGAUGCUCAACAUCUGCACUGCAGCGCGAACUGGUUUCCUUGAGUACGCACAAAGUGGGCGGAAUUCGUGGUGUAGCGGUGAAAUGCUUAGAUAUCACGAAGAACUCCGAUUGCGAAGGCAGCUCACUGGAGCGCAACUGACGCUGAA
rnacentral:rRNA from 1 species